GCCAAGUCGUGAGGCGGAGCUAAUCCCUUAAAGCCAUUCUCAGUUCGGAUUGUAGGCUGAAACUCGCCUACAUGAAGCUGGAGUUACUAGUAAUCGCAGAUCAGAAUGCUGCGGUGAAUGCGUUCCCGGGUCUUGUACACACCGCCCGUCACACCACGGAAGUUGGGGGCGCCCGAAGCCACUUAGCUAACCCUUUUGGGAAGCGAGUGUCGAAGGUGAAAUCAAUAACUGGGGUGAAGUCGUAACAAGGUAGC
rnacentral:rRNA from 1 species